GAGACAGAGAGAGAGAGAGACAGACAGA
rnacentral:piRNA from 1 species